rnacentral:rRNA from 1 species
CUUGGUCAUUUAGAGGAAGUAAAAGUCGUAACAAGGUUUCCGUAGGUGAACCUGCGGAAGGAUCAUUACCGAGAACGCCCUGGGGAUGCUUGCUGGCCCGUAACAAACGGGCAUGUGCACUCUCCGGAGUUCUUCCAGUGAACCCUCACUUGACACCAUGUGCACCUUUUGUAGGCUCGAGAAAUCGGCCUACGUUACACACAUACAUACCACACUUUGAAUGUAUUUUGUUGGCAAAAUAAAUUGAAACACAACUUUCAACAAUGGAUCUCUUGGCUCUCGCAUCGAUGAAGAACGCAGCGAAAUGCGAUACGUAAUGUGAAUUGCAGAAUUCCGUGAAUCAUCGAAUCUUUGAACGCACCUUGCGCCCCUUGGUAUUCCGAGGGGCAUGCCUGUUUGAGUGUCAUUGAAUUCUCAAAAUUCUGAACCUCGCGGUUCAGGCUUUUGGAUAUGGAGAGUGCCGGCCUUCAACCGAGUUCGGCUCCUCUGAAAAGCAUUAGCAAAACCCUCUCCCCGAUGGCUUUGUGGCAUUGAUAAGACUGUCCAUGCCUUUGCCCUCCGGCGGAAAGCGGUUGCUUUGAACAAACCUUUAACCUUGACCAUUGACCUCAAAUCAGGUAGGACUACCCGCUGAACUUAAGCAUAUCAAUAAGCGGAGGAAAAGAAACUAACAAGGAUUCCCCUAGUAACUGCGAGUGAAGCGGGAAGAGCUCAAAUUUAAAAUCUGGCGGUCUUGCAUGGCCGCUCGAGUUGUAAUCUAGAGAAGCGUCUUCCGCGCUGGACCGUGUACAAGUCUCUUGGAAUGGAGCGUCGUAGAGGGUGACAAUCCCGUCUUUGACACGGACUGCCAGGGCUUUUGUGAUGCGCUCUCGAAGAGUCGAGUUGUUUGGGAAUGCAGCUCAAAAUGGGUGGUAAAUUCCAUCUAAAGCUAAAUACGGGCGAGAGACCGAUAGCGAACAAGUACCGUGAGGGAAAGAUGAAAAGAACUUUGAAAAGAGAGUUAAACAGUACGUGAAAUUGUUGAAAGGGAAACGAUUCAAGUCAGUCGCGUCGACCGGCAAUCAACCCUUGCAUUGAUUUGCUGGGCUUACUUUCCGGGUUCGAUGGGUCAGCAUCAAUUUUGAUCAUCGGACAAUGGCUUGGGGAACGUGGCAUCCUUCGGGAUGUGUUACAGCCCUUUGUUCCGCAUGCGAUGGUUGGGAUUGAGGAACUCAGCACGCCGAAAGGUCGGGGUUAUCGCCCACGUUUACGUGCUUAGGAUGCUGGCGUAAUGGCUUGAACCGACCCGUCUUGAAACACGGACC